CACGUAGGGUGCGAGCGUUGUCCGGAAUUAUUGGGCGUAAAGAGCUCGUAGGCGGUGUGUCGCGUCGGCCGUGAAAACCUGCAGCUUAACUGUGGGCUUGCGGUCGAUACGGGCAUCACUGGAGUUCGGCAGGGGAGACUGGAAUUCCUGGUGUAGCGGUGAAAUGCGCAGAUAUCAGGAGGAACACCGGUGGCGAAGGCGGGUCUCUGGGCCGAUACUGACGCUGAGGUGCGAAAGCGUGGGGAGCGAACAGG
rnacentral:rRNA from 1 species